GACGAACGCUGGCGGCGUGCUUAACACAUGCCAGUCGAACGGAAAGGCCCUGCCUUUGUGGGGUGCUCGAGUGGCGAACGGGUGAGUAACACGUGAGUAACCUGCCCUGGACUGUGGGAUAACUUCAGGAAACGGGGGCUAAUACCGGAUAGGAGCUGCUGUUGCAUGGUAUGGGCUGGAAAGUUUCGGCGGCUGGGGAUGCACAUGGGGCUGAGCAGCUUGUUGGUGGGGUAGGGGCUUAGCAAGGCUAUGACGGGUAGCCGGCCUGGGAGGGUGACCGGCCACAGUGGGACUGAGGUACGGGCCAGAGUGCUACGUGAGGCAGCGGUGGAGAAUAUUGCGCGAUGGGCGGAGGCCUGAUGGAGCGACGCCGCGUGCGGGAUGACGGCUUUCGGGUUGUAAACCGCUUUCGCCUGUGACGAUGCGUGAGUGACGGUAAUGGAUAAAGAAGCGCCGGCUAACUACGUG
rnacentral:rRNA from 1 species